rnacentral:lncRNA from 1 species
GGUCAAGGUGUUCACGAGCUUAUCCAGUUCUUCCGACCUUUUUCGUAGGUGGCGAACAUCUUUUUAAACUCUUCGAGCGCCGUGGCGUUGGCUGGUUUGUUGGCCGCGGAUACGUCCGCUGCGGGAGUGUGGAGGUCAGUGCCACUGCUUCCGUUAAGAGGAGUCUGCACGUUAUCCACGUCGUCAGUUGACAUGUCUGGUUGAGCCUGAUGUGGUUGAGAGUUAGAUUGAUCCGUACCCCCCCUCCUUCUAGCGCCAAACAGUGG